ACCUGGUUAAGUAACUGAAAUUAUAAGUAACGUUAUUGUAAUGAUUCACGUUUCGCAAAGUCAGUUAUUUCGCUAUUUUAGGAAUCUAUGAAUCUCUGAAAUGGACCAAGUCAUAAUGAGACAAAGCAAGAAAAUCAUAUUUUCAAAACUUAGCCACUUCAAAGUCACUACAAAAUUUCAAAAUAGUAAUUUUACCCUCCAGUGUUUCGUUACGCUAACGUUAUUAACUUCAGCCUCAUGAAUGAAAUACCUAUACGUUUUAAUUUCCGAUUUAUUUACGACCUGUUGUCUACGUGUUGGAUCGCGGCAUGUCCAACCGUUUGGGCUUAUAUUGGCGCGCCGCCCGCCAGGCGCCAGAAUUUGUUCGGAUUGGAGUGGUCACAGAUCGCCUUGCCCGUCCACUCUCAGCGCCAGCAAACUACCCGUUGAAUAAUACGUGCGUUACACCGAAAACAUUUGCAAGUGGAUGCUCGCUGCCGAUUACUGAUACCUACGAUACGCCAAGAUGAGGACCUUCAACGUCCUGACAACUUUUCUUUUCACUGGGAUUUUGUGCCUGACCUUCGGACAAAGAAAUGAUUCAGCGGCGAGUAUCGUAUAUAGAAAUGCACUACAGGUCGUGAGAGAUGUGGUUAUGAGGGUGACUAAUGAAGACAUGAUCAAAGACCUG